rnacentral:rRNA from 1 species
UACGAAGGGUGCAAACGUUGCUCGGAAUCAUUGGGCGUAAAGCGCACGUAGGCGGCUUGCCAAGUCGGACGUGAAAUCCCUCAGCUCAACUGAGGACGUGCAUCCGAAACUGGCGAGCUUGAGUACUGAAGAGGAUCGCGGAAUUCCCGGUGUAGAGGUGAAAUUCGCAGAUAUCGGGAGGAACACCGGUGGCGAAGGCGGUUCUCUGGGCCUGUACUGACGCUGAGGAGCGAAAGCGUGGGGAGCAAACAGG